rnacentral:rRNA from 1 species
GACAGAGGGUGCAAACGUUGUUCGGAUUCACUGGGCGUAAAGGGUGCGUAGGUGGUGAGGUAAGUCGGAUGUGAAAUCUCCGAGCUCAACUCGGAAAUGGCAUUGGAAACUACCUUGCUCGAGGGUUGGAGGGGGGACUGGAAUGCUUGGUGUAGCAGUGAAAUGCGUAGAUAUCAAGCGGAACACCAGUGGCGAAGGCGAGUCCCUGGACAACUCCUGACACUGAGGCACGAAAGCUAGGGGAGCAAAGCAGG